UAACAAAAAUACAACUUUCAACAACGGAUCUCUUGGCUCUCGCAUCGAUGAAGAACGCAGCGAAAUGCGAUAAGUAAUGUGAAUUGCAGAAUUCAGUGAAUCAUCGAAUCUUUGAACGCAAAUUGCGCUCUUUGGUAUUCCGAAGAGCAUGCCUGUUUGAG
rnacentral:rRNA from 1 species